rnacentral:tRNA from 1 species
GCCUGGGUAGCUCAGUGGUAGAGCGCGUUCUUGGUAAGAACGAGGUCGUGGGUCCAAUCCCCACCUCAGGCU